CCUCAAUCUCGAAUUUUUUCUCUCAAUAUUCUCUUCCACUUUCUCAAUUAGGGUUUCAAAAUUAGAUUUGAUUAUUUUGUUCUUCAAUAAUUCUAAUGUUUGUUUUUGUUCAGCAUAAAUACAGAAGUAAUUGAAGGUAUUGACAAUGAUGAUAUUGUAAUUGUCUCAUUUGUGGCUGUUAAUCAUGGCCUUGACGAGCACUCUAUAUAUCACUACCCAUAUUCUGAGUUGAUUCCCGAAAUCAACUCUUUAUUUCUUUCUUUGAUUUUGAUUUUUUUAUUUUUCAAGUAAUAUUGAUCUGAUUUAGGGUUUUAAUAUACUUGUUUGAAAUUUAUUAAGGGGCUUAUGAUUGAAGAAAUUACAGACAAGCUUAUGGCUGAAUCUAUUUUAUGCUGCUAAAUCUAUCUUUUCUAUGAAGCCUCUUUCCAGUUAAUUGUUUUUUUUCUGUUACUUUUUGAUUUUUUGAAUGUUGGUAUUGUUUUUGAUGGAGAAGUUCUGAAGUGAUGAUUGUUGCGUAGUUCAGACGAGAUUCGUCUCUGACUAAUUUAAACAAAAAUUGAUCUUUCGCUCCUAUUUGAUUACUUCUUCCUUAAAUGUGAACAGAAAUUAGUUUCUAGAGAUGGUAAGUAAUCUUUGUGUGUUUCAUAGUUUCACUGAGAUGUUGGACAGUGAAGAGGAGGAAGAUGAGGUAGCCGGAAUGAAAAACAAAGGAUGGUUUUCGUCAAUUUUCCAGAGUAUUGCAGGAAAAGCAAAUCUGGAGAAGUCAGACCUGGAACCAGCUCUUAAAGAUAGGCUCCGGACCAAGAAUGUGGCGGAAGAAAUAGCUGAGAAGCUAUGUGAAUCCAUAGCGGCUAGUCUUGUAGGAAAAAAGCUGGCUUCAUUUACUGGAGUUUCAUCAACAGUUCAGGCAGGCGAUGAAAAACGCACUUGUUCGCAUUUUAAUUCCCGAACGCUCUAUCGAUGUAUUAAGAGAUGUAGAUGCUGCCAAGGAGCAAGGGGGGCCAUAUGGGAUCACUUUUGUUGGUGUCUAUGGAGUUGGGAAGUUCACCAAUCUUGCUAAGAUACCAUACUGGCUUCAAAAGAAAGAUAUUAGUGUUAUGAUGGCUGCUUGCGAUACAUUCAAGUCUGGAGCAGUUGAACAGCUUCGAACUCAUGCUCGUAAGCUCCAGAUUCCUAUAUUUGAGAAAGGCUACGAAAAAGAUCCUGCUAUUGUGGCAAAGCAAGCAAUACAAGAAGCAAGGCGAAACAGUUCUGAUGUGGUUCUUGAUGAUACAGCCGGACGUAUGCAGGACAUAAAUCAGAAAAUCCUGACUUGAAAGGAUGAGAUAAUUGUUCAGGUAUCGUAACGAGGGUCAAGUGCUGAAGCCCGAGUCCGUAUUGGUUAAUGGAACAAGUGAAAGCAUCACAGCCGCAGCUCAAGAACUUGAACCCUCUUCCCUGAUUUCGCCGUGCCAGCUGAUACUACAGCACUUAUUGCAGAGGAGCUGAGUGAUGGUGUCGAAGUUCAUCAUCAUCUGAACAAUGAGGAAGAGGUAGUUGUGCAGGAAUAGGUUGUUGAGGAGCCUCCUCAAGUUCAACCAGUGCAAAUUGAAGUUCAACAAUUGGCAGAGCUUCCAUUGCUUGCUCAUUAGAUUUCUAAUCUUUAUCUGGAGUAACUGAUCCAAUUCUAAACUUCAUAGUAUAUAUUCAAAUCAGCAUGUGAAGACAACUUUACUGAAAUGUUCUGUUCUUACCAUGGAUUUGUGUAGAGAACACUGGAGUUGAUGAUCCCCACUCCAUGGGAAGGUGUUCCUUCAGGUACCCUGCAUAUGAGAGCAUAGACAAGUAAAGAUACAUACUCAGCCUGGAUCCAAUCAUUUUUGCAGUGAGCAUAUGAGACCAGCCAAGUAAAGAUUCUGACUCUCAGCCGUUGCUCAAUCACCGCUUAGGCCCAUAUGUCCUCUAUGUAUAUUGUAGUUUGAUUUUUUGGAUGUUAAUGAAUUGAAUUUUAUUAACAAAAUGAAGCUUACAUUUAUUUUUUCA